UCAUGGCUCAAAAGAGCUUCUAAAACCUCUAAGGAGCACAAAGCUCCAAAUCUCUUAGCCAAAACCCAAACCCUAGAGGAAAACCUUACAAAACUCACCUCUAGUCCAAGCUCCACCAAGAUCCUUCUUGUUGGAGAGCUCCUAGAACCUCCAAAGCCUCCAAAUCCUCCUCCUUUUCUCUUCUUCUCCUUCUUCUCCAAGUCCUAGAGCAUGGGUUCUAGAGAGAGAAAGAGAGGAAAUGGGAGAGAAG
rnacentral:lncRNA from 1 species